rnacentral:misc_RNA from 1 species
AGUGUCGAGAGACCCGUUCUGGGAGUGUGGAUGGUAGUAGGGACUCCCGAGUGAGCUGUUUGCAGUUCCUUCCACAAGCCUCCAGUUUGCAUUAGUUUGCAUACGUGAGUGAAAGUUUAAAGUUUAGUAAUUUAAACAGCCGCGCGCUGUCCCUUUUCCGAAGAGCUUCCGUGGAUAUAUGUGCAUUCGCACAUAUAUUACGUGCAUUCUAUAUCGUGCCAUACUACCGGCUAUGCGCACCACAACCAUGGCCACGUACAGGUUGCCGGCUCCCGUGUCUGGGAAUAUUCAACGGAUGCAAUUUUUCAACGGUCCAGGAAAUUGAACGGAAAAUUUUGAUGGAGUUUCGAAUAACGACAGUCGCAGAGUUUCUCGGCAAAUCCUCGAUACGCUCAAGUAUUUUUAUAAAUGCUGUUAAAACUAAAAUAGACUAUAAUAGGAAUUGAUUGAAGUUAAUAAAUAAAAGUUGUACGAACACAUAUAGCAGGAGCGUUCGUCCGAUUAAAUGUUUAAGAAUGUUGAAACGACGAAUAAUAACGAACAAUUAAAUUUAACGAGCUACUGACUAAUAAUUAAUUACUAAAACGUAACAGCGCGAUUAUGUUACGUACAAAUGUGUUACAGACGCGAUAUUCAUUAUACACGUGUUGUUUAUACAGUAUGAUAGAUAUGAAGAUUCAUUUUGCUUAGUCCCUUCAAUUCACGUUCACGUGGCAAAUAAUUAUUGCCUAACUUAUCAGUUAGUAUGCUUUUCAUUAAAACGCGUGAGAUAUUUUGCGGAUAUAUUUGAACGAACUGAAAUAAUUUUUCAGGUUGAAUAUUUUACGCAGCAUGCCAAACCGACAAAUGUCUUGAUCGUUUGUAUCAUGUAUUGAUUUUGUAUUUUUACUAUAUCGUCGAGGGUGUAUUAACCUUCUUGGAGAUCAAUGUUUUUGAUUUUGAAAUAUAUCUUCCUGUUCCAAGUAAUUAGUCCUAGAUAUUCUGAUAUAAUGAUCUAUUGUCUUAGAACAGGAAAAUUUAACCAAACAUAUAAUUGUAGCUGUAAAUUUUACAAUUUUACAAUAAGGAAUUUACGCGUUCAAUGAGAAAACGAAAUAACCGUAUAAAAGAAUAAAAACUAGUUUCC